AUUGAACGCUGGCGGCAGGCCUAACACAUGCAAGUCGAGCGAGCGGCGGACGGGUGAGUAAUGUCUGGGAACCUGCCUGAUGGAGGGGGAUAACUACCGGAAACGGUAGCUAAUACCGCAUACCAUCAGAUGUGCCCAGAUGGGGUUAGCUAGUAGGUGGGGUAACGGCUCACCUAGGCGACGAUCCCUAGCUGGUCUGAGAGGAUGACCAGCCGCACUGGAACGGAGACACGGUCCAGAGUCCUACGAGAGGCAGCAGUGGGGGAUAUUGCACAAUGGGCGCAAGCCUGAUACAGCCAUGCCGCGGGUGUGAGGAAGGCCUUCGGGUGGUAAAGCACUUUCAGCGGGGAAGCGUUACCCGCAGAAGAAGCACCGGCUAACUCCGUGCCAGCAGCCGCGGUAAUAC
rnacentral:rRNA from 1 species